rnacentral:rRNA from 1 species
AGCUUCAGUAGCGUAUAUUAAAGUUGUUGCAGUUAAAAAGCUCGUAGUCGCAUUUCUGGCGAGAGGAUCCGGUCCGACCUUUUGGUGGGUUCUUGGGUCUCUUUCGCCAUCCUUGAGUGGUCCGUUCUGGCAUUAGGUUGUCGGAGCGUCAGCCGCUCAUCGUUUACUGUGAGAAAAUUAGAGUGUUCAAAGCAGGCUUAUGCCGUUGAAUAUAUUAGCAUGGAAUAAUAAGAUAGGACCUCGGUACUAUUUUGUUGGUUUGCGCACCAAGGUAAUGAUGAACAGGGACAGUUGGGGGUAUGUGUAUUUCGUUGUCAGAGGUGAAAUUCUUAGAUUUACGAAAGACAAACUACUGCGAAAGCAUUUACCAAGGAUGUUUGCA